GCACCUUAACGGGAGUUAAACCCGUACCUUCGAUAUAAGUAAUUAACGUACUAUACACUAUACUAUAAGGUU